AAAUUGAAGAGUUUGAUCAUGGCUCAGAUUGAACGCUGGCGGCAGGCCUAACACAUGCAAGUCGAACGGUAACAGGAAGCAGCUUGCUGUUUUGCUGACGAGUGGCGGACGGGUGAGUAAUGUCUGGGAAACUGCCUGAUGGAGGGGGAUAACUACUGGAAACGGUGGCUAAUACCGCAUAACGUCGCAAGACCAAAGAGGGGGACCUUCGGGCCUCUUGCCAUCAGAUGUGCCCAGAUGGGAUUAGCUUGUUGGUGAGGUAACGGCUCACCAAGGCGACGAUCCCUAGCUGGUCUGAGAGGAUGACCAGCCACACUGGAACUGAGACACGGUCCAGACUCCUACGGGAGGCAGCAGUGGGGAAUAUUGCACAAUGGGCGCAAGCCUGAUGCAGCCAUGCCGCGUGUAUGAAGAAGGCCUUCGGGUUGUAAAGUACUUUCAGCGGGGAGGAAGGUGUUGUGGUUAAUAACCGCAGCAAUUGACGUUACCCGCAGAAGAAGCACCGGCUAACUCCGUGCCAGCAGCCGCGGUAAUACGGAGGGUGCAAGCGUUAAUCGGAAUUACUGGGCGUAAAGCGCACGCAGGCGGUCUGUCAAGUCGGAUGUGAAAUCCCCGGGCUCAACCUGGGAACUGCAUUCGAAACUGGCAGGCUUGAGUCUUGUAGAGGGGGGUAGAAUUCCAGGUGUAGCGGUGAAAUGCGUAGAGAUCUGGAGGAAUACCGGUGGCGAAGGCGGCCCCCUGGACAAAGACUGACGCUCAGGUGCGAAAGCGUGGGGAGCAAACAGGAUUAGAUACCCUGGUAGUCCACGCCGUAAACGAUGUCUACUUGGAGGUUGUGCCCUUGAGGCGUGGCUUCCGGAGCUAACGCGUUAAGUAGACCGCCUGGGGAGUACGGCCGCAAGGUUAAAACUCAAAUGAAUUGACGGGGGCCCGCACAAGCGGUGGAGCAUGUGGUUUAAUUCGAUGCAACGCGAAGAACCUUACCUGGUCUUGACAUCCACGGAAGUUUUCAGAGAUGAGAAUGUG
rnacentral:rRNA from 1 species